rnacentral:lncRNA from 1 species
GACAGUCAUGCACAAACCACAGCUACAGGGGAGGUGUGAAGCAAGGCCUGGGGAAAGCCUGAAAAGACACAAAAAUCCAGGGGAACUGGUAUGGAGCAAUCCUGUGAACGCUUUCCUCAGGCGUCAGCUGUGCAUGCACUGGUCAGCGUCCAGCGUGGCCACAGCAGGGCUUUGAGUGUGUCAUCUCUUCAGAGCGACGUGACUGGUCCAGGUAAAUUCUCCAGAUCUGGUUACAAGCUGUUUUCAACUUUUCUAGAGCUUUGUGGCCUGCAUGCGGCAUGUAGUCUACAAAAGCAGGCCCGCUGCUGCUGCUGCCAGUGGUCCAAGAGGCCUUGCUAGCCUCUUCCCUCGACUCCACCCUGCUCAGUCCUUGCGUGCCUACUUGGUCCUUUCCGCCAGGCCUCGGGUCCGCUCGUUUAUCCUCGGGUCUCUCCGCGCCUCCUCGGUCCUUUCCGCCAGGCUUCGGGUUUAUUUGUUUAUUCUCGGGUCCCUCCGUGACUCCUUGGUUAUUUCCGCCAGGCUCCUUCAGCCUCAGUGCCAUCCAUUUCUCCCGGCGCCUUCCAUCCAUCUGGGUGGCCCAGAUGUUCCUUUUCCGGUCUCUCAGCCCCUCGUCCCGUCCCUCUGCGCCCCUUGGGUCCCUCCGCGCCUCCGCAUGGGUUCCCUAGCGCCUCGCGGCUCCCGCGCCCACCCCGCCACGCUCCCGCCCGGGCCGGGCUCCUGCAGUCCCUGCUCCUGGCUCUGGGUGGCGCUGUGCUCACUCAGCGCUCCAGCCCAGGACGUCGGGCGUCCUUCCCGCGUUCUGCCCAGUGCGGGACCCGGACCAAGAAGGACUAAGAAAAAGGGUCGCCCUCUGCGAAAUGGGGACGAACGUCUGUGUUUUACAUCUCGUUUCUCUUCGUGGAUGAACCUGGGAAUCUCCCGGCGGUGCAGAGCCUUGCUCUUUUCGCAGGAGUCUGAAUAUUAGAUAUUUCAAGGAAGAAUUCUGAAUACAACAUGAUACUGCAAUUGUUUGUGAAGAAACACUAAGCAUCAUGUGUCCAUCUUGAGCCCAUCUGAGAACUGGCCCCGCUUGUAGCCUUGUCUGUAGCAAGUGAGAGUGUCCUGUGAAUGAGAUCUACCACUACCAUCCCCAGGUACAGAGCACCAGCACUCCCAUCGCACCCUCCAUGACGUUGGACAUGGGGUGGACCUUGUGAGUUUUAUUCAGUUUGUCACCUGUGUUUAUAGAAG